rnacentral:rRNA from 1 species
GACGAACGCUGGCGGCGUGCCUAACACAUGCAAGUCGAGCGGAGUCGAUCGACGGAAGCCUUCGGGCGGAAGAUGGUUGACUUAGCGGCGGAUGGGUGAGUAACGCGUGGGCAACCUGCCUCGAAGACCGGGAUAACAGCCCGAAAGGGCUGCUAAUACCGGAUGUGGUCAAGGAUCCGCAUGGAUUUUUGAUUAAAGGGGAAACCCGUUUCGAGAUGGGCCCGCGUCCUAUCAGCUAGUUGGUGAGGUAAAAGCUCACCAAGGCGACGACGGGUAGCCGGCCUGAGAGGGUGACCGGCCACACUGGAACUGAGACACGGUCCAGACUCCUACGGGGGGCAGCAGUGGGGAAUCUUCCACAAUGGGCGAAAGCCUGAUGGAGCGACGCCGCGUGAGCGAAGAAGGCCUUCGGUUGUAAAGCUCUGUCUGAGGGACGAAGGAAGUGACGGUACCUCCGGAGGAAGCCACGGCUAACUACGUG